rnacentral:snRNA from 1 species
AGGCAGUGAUGAUUAAAAA